ensembl:lncRNA
AAUUUAAAAAAUUGUAUGUUGUGAUCAGUGUAACAAAAAACAAAAUUUUUAUUUGUCACACUCAUGCAGAUGUGAGACACUAUUUAUGUUCUUUGUGUUUUCAAUGACUGCAGUUUAAAAUGGCACCAGAAAAUAUCUAUCUGUGUGAAAUGAAGGCUACAUUCAAAUUACAGGGUCGAUUGAGGAGUACUGGGAAGGACAAACUACUGACUCCUUGCCUGACGCAACACAGCAUCAGACCCCUCCAAGGGGACGACACCCCAGAAGCAGCCAGACAAUGCUGGAUGGAGCAAUGGGUCCCAACUGUGAAACAUCACCCAACACAACUCAGGCAAGCUCAAGUUGGUGCCAGCCACAAGAGCAAAGCAACACUGCAAACAUCAGACUUCUGGUGAUGUUCUAGCAGAACAGAGAGCUAACAACCACCUGCUGCCCUCCUGCCACCAUCACAAGGUACCAUGGAUAGCCUACUGGCUAACAACACCUACAAAUAACCAUCUGACUCAGACCAACUCACUUCAGGAUGACAGGAGACACUGCUUCAACACCUGCUGCACAAGCUUGAGGGCCCACACCUUGCUACAGCUUACAUCACCACAGCUCACCACUUGACAGCAUCCACCACGGCACCACAAACACUCCUGGAGGCAACCAGCAGCCCGAGAGCCACCACUGUCUCCCAGCCAUGAGCGGCAGGAGGUUCAAUUUGAAUCACUCUGUGACAUAUUCUGAUGUAACUGAUGAUGCCCUUGAUGACAUGAUCAAAGAUAUUGAGGCUGGGAAUGAUCAGCUUGGAUCUGAGGCUGUCAGGGCACAGUUACGGCCAGCUGGAGUACGGGUGCAGAGAGACAGAGUGAGAAAGAGUUUAAUUCGAACCAACCCCUGGGCAGCUGCACAAAGAAGACCACAGAGAUGCAGAAUUGUCAUUCAUGGUGGUAUAGAUGGCUACAGUCGUCUCAAAGUCUUUCUCCGUGCCUCAAACAACAUCUGCAGCAGCACUGUAAUGAAUUGCUUUUUGAAUGCUGUGGCCAGGUAUGGAGUGCCUUCUAAGGUCAGAACAGAUCAUGGUGGAGAAAACUGAUGUCUGUGUGAUGAUGAACAUUUUCAGGGGCUCAGAGAGAGGCAGUGCUAUCAGAGGCAGGAGCACUCAUAACUAGCAUAUUGAGAGGCUCUGGGGUGACAUGUGGCAGGGAUUGUCUAAUGUUUAUUAUAAUCCCGUCCACUUCCUGGAGAGUGAAGUGAUAGUGGACAUAGACAAUGAAAUGCAUCUCUGGGCUCUACAUUACGUCUACUUGCCAAGGAUCAGCAGGGACUUGACUGCCUUCAUCCGACAAUGGAACAACCAUGGGCUGAGAACUGUGAGACAUCAGAUCCCAAUGCAGACUUUUGUCCGAGGCUGCCUGGAACAACAAGGACAAAGAUCCACAGCAAUGCAAGAAAUCUUUGGCAGAAGAGCUGGGCCAGCAGAUUAAACUGUUGUUCAAGGACCAUUUGAACAAGGAGAAACAACAUCAAGAAUGCAGGGGGCAGCAAUGCUUGACUGGCCAGACAGAGUACAAGUACGACAGAAUCACUACACUUUGGACAAUGCAACCUUGGAACAUCUUGUUGCACAGUUUAAUCCACUUGGUGGGGCACAAGCAGAAUUUGGAUUAGACAUCCUUUGCAAUGUUUUAUCUUUAAAUCAAUCAUAGGAAAGGACAAGUUAAUCCCAAAAAAGAUCUUAUGGAUGCAUGUUAUGGUUGACUUUCAUUAAAUGGACAAAACAUAGAGCUAACCUUUCAAGUUUGUUUAGAGCAGUGGUUGCCAACCCGGCGAUCGCAAUCGACUUUAUCUUUAUCACUCUCCCAGUAGCUCAAGAAAAUAACAGAAAAAUUUGUACAAUAAAGACAUCGUGAUUAAUGUUAAGCUUUGCA